UAUAAUUUUCAAAGUAAGUUUGUAAUGUAUUUUAUGUCUUGAGCUUUUGUCCACUCCAUAGGAUCAAUUCUUUUGUCCUAAUAUCUAAAUUAUGCUUGUUUAAAAUAAUCCCUAUUUGAUCUGUCCCAUUUAUAUUA